UUCACCUGUCAAUCUGUCAUCUCUGCUGUUCCCAACGCGAAAGAUGAAAAGUGUUUUUAGUUAAGUGACUAAUCCAACAAAUUCAAUUAAGUUAGCUCCUCAAUAAAAUAUACAGUAUAUAUAAUGAUGCAAAGACUGCGUGCAUUCUAAACGGUGGUCUGUUUUCUGGUGUUGUGCACUAACCGGAACUUUUCCAAACUGGUUCAAGGGGAAACCGGCGCAUCAACAUCAACAAGUAAACUUCCGUAGUAUGCAUACUAUUGCCCAAUUAGUAUUGUCUAUAACUUCAAUACUUACUGGAAUCAAAUUUAGAACAUCCGAUGUAGCCAUCUAUCACAAGAUAAUGCAAUCAUUGGUUAGAUGCACAUUUUCGUUCUGUGAACCGAUGCUCUCUGGCGAUGGAAGCAGAAUCAUCACUCUUAUCGUCAGUCGCAUACGCAGCAUUAAGGAUUUUGGGAAGCAUCAAUGUUGCAGGUGCAUGGGAGUCGACACCUAGGCUGUUUAAUUAUUCGUACUGUAGUAGAUCUAUCACAAUCAAAUCUAAAUGGAGUUUGGUUAAUUUUGCCUGCCAGACAAUACAAAGUGUAAUGUACAAUGUAUGUAUCAGCGGAUCGACAAUUCAGCAUCGCGACACGACCAGCCGAGAUAAGAUGUAAGAAAAAACGUAUGCUAAUAGAAAAAUAUACAUAAUUGCUGAAUGUUUCUCAAUCGAAAAGAAAUAUGAAAGA